rnacentral:rRNA from 1 species
GACGAACCGUCCAAACGUUAUUCGGAAUCACUGGGCUUAAAGGGCGCGUAGGCGGCCGAGCGGGUCACGGGUGAAAUCCUCCAGCUUAACUGGAGAACUGCCCUUGAUACCACUGCGGCUCGAGGAAGGAAGGGGUCAUGGGAACUGUCGGUGGGGCGGUGAAAUGCGUUGAUAUCGACAGGAACGCCGGUGGCGAAAGCGCAUGACUGGUCCUUUUCUGACGCUGAGGCGCGAAAGCCAGGGGAGCAAACGGG